GAUGAAGAACGCAGCGAAAUGCGAUAAGUAGUGUGAAUUGCAGAAUUCAGUGAAUCAUCGAAUCUUUGAACGCACAUUGCGCCCCUUGGUAUUCCAUGGGGCAUGCCUGUUCGAGCGUCAUUUGUACCUUCAAGCUUUGCUUGGUGUUGGGUGUUUGUCCUGAGGGACUCGCCUUAAAGUAAUUGGCAGCCGGCCUACUGGUUUCGGAGCGCAGCACAAGUCGCACUCUCUAUCAGCAAAGGUCUAGCAUCCACUAAGCCUUUUUUUCAACUUUUGACCUCGGAUCAGGUAGGGAUACCCGCUGAACUUAAGCAUAUCAAUAAGCGGAGGA
rnacentral:misc_RNA from 1 species